GCGUAUAUUAAAGUUGUUGCAGUUAGAACGCUCGUAGUCGGAUUUCGGGGCAGUCCGACCGGUCUGCCGAUGGGUAUGCACUGGCCGGAGUGUCCUUUUUGCCGGAGACCGUGCCUACUCUUAACUGAGCGGGGGCGGGAGACGGCACUUUUACUUUGAAAAAAUCAGAGUGUUUCAAGCAGGCAGCUCGCUCUUGCAUGGAUUAGCAUGGGAUAAUGAAAUAGGACUAUGGUGCUAUUUUGUUGGUUUCGAACACCGAAGUAAUGAUGAGAAGGGACAGUCAGGGGCACUCGUAUUCCGCAGAGAGAGGUGAAAUUCUCAGACCCGCGGAAGACGAACCACUGCGAAAGCAUUUGCCAGGGAUGUUUUCACUGAUCAAGAACGAAAGUUAGGGGAUCGAAGAUGAUCAGAUACCGUCGUAGUCUUAACCAUAAACCAUGCCGACUAGGGAUUGGAGGAUGCUCACUGAUUGACUCCUUCAGCACCUUACGGGAAACUAAAGUCUUUGGGUUCCGGGGGGAGUAUGGUCGCAAGGCUGAAACUUGA
rnacentral:rRNA from 1 species